GGCUAAGGCCAUGCCACUCUAGACAUGCCCGAUCCCGUCUGAUCUCGGAAGCUAAGCAGGAUUGGGCCUGGUUAGUAUUUGAAUGGGAGACCACCUAGGAAGACCAGGUGCUGUAGGUG
rnacentral:rRNA from 1 species